rnacentral:rRNA from 1 species
AGCUAGUGGGGGUAGACGCGAAACCUGGUGAUCUACCCAUGGGCAGGUUGAAGUUCCGAUAGUCUCGGAAUGGAGGACCGAACCAGUACACGUUGAAAAGUGUUUGGAUGACCUGUGGGUAGGGGUGAAAGGCCAAUCAAACUACGUGAUAGCUGGUUCUCCCCGAAAGAUAUUUAGGUAUCGUCUCGAGCCAUUCUCUGCCGGAGGUAGAGCACUUAAUGGGCUAGGGCCCUCACCAGGGUACCAAACCCAAUAAAACUCCGAAUGCCGGUAAGAGUUACCUCGGGAAGCAGGCUGCGGGUGAUAAGAUCCGUAGCCAAGAGGGAAAGAGCCCAGAUCGCCAGCUAAGGUCCCUAAAUCUAUACUAAGUGGAAAACGAUGUGGGUUCGCUUAGACAACCAGGAGGUUGGCUUAGAAGCAGCCAUCCUUUAAAGAAAGCGUAAUAGCUCACUGGUCAAGCGGGCCCGCGCGGAAAAUAUAACGGGGCUCAAGUAUAGUACCGAAGCUGCGGGUUCCUAAAUGGAGCGGUAGGGGAGCAUCGGAGUUGUCUGUGAAGGUCGACCGCGAGGACGGCUGGAGACCCUUCGAGGGCAAAUGCGGACAUGAGUAGCGAUAAAACGAGUGAGAAACUCGUUCGCCGAAAACCUCAGGUUUCCUGGGCUAGGCUUAUCCUCCCAGGGUUAGUCGGAUCCUAAGCCGAGGCCUACGGGCGUAGGCGAUGGCAAGCAAGUUAAUAUUCUUGCACCUCUAGGUUGGCGUAGAAAUCAGCGGGGACGGAGAAGGGUAGACGAGCCGGCAAUUGGUAUGCCCGGUUCAAGCACGUAGAGAGGCUCUGUACGAUCAAAAGGCAGGGUCAAUCUCGAGAUGCGAUGAAGGUUCAACGCCAUAGGCAGCGAGCGAAAUCGUCGAUCCCAUGCUUCCAAGAAAAGCCGCGGAUGGAGCCGUUCUGGAGUCCGUACCGUAAACCGACACAGGUAGUCGAGGAGAGUAUCCUAAGGCGCUCGAGUGAUCCGUGGCUAAGGAACUAGGCAAAAUCGACUCGUAACUUCGGGAGAAGAGUCCCUCACUUAGGUGAGGCGCAGUGAAAAGGCCCAGGCGACUGUUUAGCAAAAACACAGGACUCUGCGAAAUCGAAAGAUGAAGUAUAGGGUCUGACACCUGCCCGGUGCUGGAAGGUUAAGGAAGGUAGUUAGCUUCGGCGAAGCUAUUAACUGAAGCCCCAGUAAACGGCGGCCGUAACUAUAACGGUCCUAAGGUAGCGAAAUUCCUUGUCGGGUAAGUUCCGACCUGCACGAAUGGUGUAACGAUCUGG